rnacentral:lncRNA from 1 species
GAAGCUGAAAGACCAUCGAGGUCAAAUAAGCUGCUUCAAAACCUAACCAAGUUGAGAGUCCUUGCUCUCGACGGGUUAAACCUGUCUGGCAUUGAUGUGACUUGCUUAAUGAAUCUCUCUCCAUCUCUGGAAGUCCUCAGCCUCAGUUACUGUAAAUUGCGGGGCACAUUAGCAGCAAACAUUUUCCUUUUGCCAAAGCUGACAUGUCUCAAUUUAUCAGGCAACAAGGAGCUUUCGGGUUACUUACCUGAAGCAACUUGGAACAGCUCUUUGAAGGUUUUGGACUUGUCCUCCUCAGGCUUCUCUGGAGUAUUAGCAGAGUCCAUCGGCGACCUGCAUUCUCUGCAGAUACUUUGGCUGAACCGGUGCAGCUUCACAGGCUCUAUUCCAUCAUCA